UACGUAGGGUGCAAGCGUUAUCCGGAAUUAUUGGGCGUAAAGAGCUCGUAGGCGGCUUGUCGCGUCGACUGUGAAAUCCCGCGGCUCAACUGCGGGUCUGCAGUCGAUACGGGCAGGCUAGAGUUCGGUAGGGGAGACUGGAAUUCCUGGUGUAGCGGUGAAAUGCGCAGAUAUCAGGAGGAACACCGAUGGCGAAGGCAGGUCUCUGGGCCGAUACUGACGCUGAGGAGCGAAAGCGUGGGGAGCGAACAGG
rnacentral:rRNA from 1 species